rnacentral:rRNA from 1 species
GAAACGACUGCUAAGACUGGAUAGGAGAUAAGAAGGCAUCUUUUUAUUUUUAAAAGACCUUUUUCGAAAGGUAUACUUAAAGAGGGGCUUGCGGCACAUUAGUUAGUUGGUAGGGUAAAAGCCUACCAAGACUAUGAUGUGUAGCUGGACUGAGAGGUUGAACAGCCACAUUGGGACUGAGACACGGCCCAAACUCCUACGGGAGGCAGCAGUAGGGAAUUUUCGGCAAUGGAGGAAACUCUGACCGAGCAACGCCGCGUGAACGAUGAAGUAUUUCGGUAUGUAAAGUUCUUUUAUUGAAGAAGAAAAAAUAGUGGAAAAACUAUCUUGACGAUAUUCAAUGAAUAAGCCCCGGCAAACUAUGUGCCAGCAGCCGCGGUAAUACAUAGGGGGCGAGCGUUAUCCGGAAUUAUUGGGCGUAAAGGGUGCGUAGGCGGUUUGGUAAGUCUAUAGUUUAAUUUCAGUGCUUAACACUGUUCUGCUAUAGAAACUAUCAGACUAGAGUGAGAUAGAGGCAAGUGGAAUUCCAUGUGUAGCGGUAAAAUGCGUAAAUAUAUGGGGGAACACCAGAGGCGUAGGCGGCUUGCUGGGUCUUUACUGACGCUGAGGCACGAAAGCGUGGGGAGCAAACAGGAUUAGAUACCCUGGUAGUCCACGCCGUAAACGAUGAGUACUAAGUGUCGGGGAAACUCGGUACUGAAGUUAACACAUUAAGUACUCCGCCUGAGUAGUACGUACGCAAGUAUGAAACUUAAAGGAAUUGACGGGACUCCGCACAAGCGGUGGAUCAUGUUGUUUAAUUCGAAGAUACACGAAAAACCUUACCAGGUCUUGACAUACUCUGCAAAGCUAUAGCAAUAUAGUGGAGGUUACCAGGGAUACAGGUGGUGCAUGGUUGUCGUCAGCUCGUGUCGUGAGAUGUUAGGUUAAGUCCUAAAACGAGCGCAACCCUUGUCACUAGUUGCCAGCAUGUUAUGAUGGGCACUUUAGUGAGACUGCCAAUGAAAAAUUGGAGGAAGGUGAGGAUCACGUCAAAUCAUCAUGCCCCUUAUGAUCUGGGCUACAAACGUGAUACAAUGGCUGUUACAAGGAGUAGCUAAAACGCGAGUUUAUAGCCAAUCUCAUAAAAGCAGUCUCAGUUCGGAUUGAAGUCUGCAACUCGACUUCAUGAAGUUGGAAUCGCUAGUAAUCGCGAAUCAGCAUGUCGCGGUGAAUACGUUCUCGGGGUUUGUACACACCGCCCGUCA